rnacentral:lncRNA from 1 species
AAAUCGAAAAAAAAAGAAUGGCGGAUGAGCGAGAAAGUUCGGUAAAGCUUAGCGGCGUUGUCGCGAAAAAAACAAAAAAUCACCUCCGAUGAGCCCCUUCCUGUUUCUUAUUUCGUGCAAUUUUUUUACAAUUGUGUUCACCAUUCUGUUUUCUACAGGUUAACCGAAGAAAAAUGCUUAGCCGCGAAGGUGAGUCAGCAUAGCCGCCGCA